CAGCCGCCACGGUAAUACGUAGGUGGCAAGCGUUGUCCGGAAUUAUUGGGCGUAAAGGGCUCGCAGGCGGUUUCUUAAGUCUGAUGUGAAAGCCCCCGGCUCAACCGGGGAGGGUCAUUGGAAACUGGGAAACUUGAGUGCAGAAGAGGAGAGUGGAAUUCCACGUGUAGCGGUGAAAUGCGUAGAGAUGUGGAGGAACACCAGUGGCGAAGGCGACCCUCUGGUCUGUAACUGACGCUGAGGAGCGAAAGCGUGGGGAGCGAACAGGAUUAGAUACCCGGGUAGUCCCUGUCUCUUAUAC
rnacentral:rRNA from 1 species